AACAAUUCUUCAUCUCCACCGUCUAAGAGAGCGUUGUUUCAUCUUCUUCCUAAAAAUCUUCAUUCAAUUUAUUUUCCCUUUUCACAAAGCGGUGGAUCUCAAGCUAUUAAAAGGCAGGCGUCGUUCCUUGACCAUCAUUCUUCACAAUUCUAUAUAGUCAUUAAAAGUUCUUCAUUAAAAAUCUUAAUUUUACAAGACAAUUAGGUCCGCUCGAUUUCUACUCCGGCCACCUUAUCUGAGAAACCGUCAAAUUUUGACGAGGAAUAGGGAAGGCAGAGGAAAUUGCAAGAACAGCGUUGUUGAUGUUGUUCGUGAGGAAGCUUUUGGGCAUCUACCAAUUUGCAAAAACAACCACGAGAAAAGGUUGCAGAUGAUGAUUGUACUCAAAGAAUGGCAUGGAUGCAUUUGAUAUACCCCUUCUUCUACCACAAUUUAUGUCUUCUACAUCACCUCUAUUUGUGCUUAUGGUGGCAUGCGGUAUGAUCCCCACGACAAAAUAUCUGUGGAAUGGGAACCCACUGGUGCAUUUUACUUUGUUGUGCCUCAUGUUAUAUUACUGAGUUUGGUGGAAGCUCGAUGUUGGAUGCAACUCUUGCUUGGGACAAUGAACUUUCUUGGACGCUGGAGAAUGCUAUUGAAGCACUUUAGGAGACUAUGCUUCAGGUGUCUUCUGUUGUGAUGAGGUUAUGAAGGGGGUCUCUAGGAGUAUUUGUUCUUAGCAAGAAUCAUGUUCGACAAAAGGAACGUAUUACCCUGCUGUAGAGAAGGCUUUGUAGAUGAUUAAGCAAAACAGUUCAUCUCUUAGGCCUCAAACUGCUUCAACUGCGCGGGAUAUUGAGAUAGAAUGUGACUUACUAACCAGCAGCCCUAAAGAUGAUCUUGAGUUCUCUAUUGUACAAGAGAAUAUAUGAGACAAGUUAAACCUCAAUAUGUGACAAAAAACUGUGAGGAAGCUUGCAAGAUUGCAACACAUAUAUUCUCAAUUGGUGGGGAGGCUGAGGAGAGAAGUUGACGAGCUGUUUGCGGGCUUUCAGCAGAAGAAGCCAAUACUUUUGAUCAAGGAAAAGAGGUGAAAUAUCACCUGUUUUUGUGAUUUUUUAUUUGAUAUAUAUUUUUGAGAAUUGCCAUUUUUUCUUCUAUCCAUGUACUCUUGAGAAUUGAAUUGCCAUACUCAUUCGUUAUGAUCAAUAUAUGACCGGAUGAGAAUAUCUUUAAAAAAUAUAUUAAUAUCAAAAGCUUUA